rnacentral:rRNA from 1 species
GACGAACGCUGGCGGCGUGCCUAAUACAUGCAAGUUGAGCGCUGAAGGUUGGUACUUGUCCCGACUGGAUGAGCAGCGAACGGGUGAGUAACGCCUGGGGAAUCUGCCUUUGAGCGGGGGACAACAUUUGGAAACGAAUGCUAAUACCGCAUAAAAACUUUAAACACAAGUUUUAAGUUUGAAAGAUGCAAUUGCAUCACUCAAGGAUGAUCCCGCGUUGUAUUAGCUAGUUGGUGAGGUAAAGGCUCACCAAGGCGAUGAUACAUAGCCGACCUGAGAGGGUGAUCGGCCACAUUGGGACUGAGACACGGCCCAAACUCCUACGGGAGGCAGCAGUAGGGAAUCUUCGGCAAUGGACGAAAGUCUGACCGAGCAACGCCGCGUGAGUGAAGAAGGUUUUCGGAUCGUAAAACUCUGUUGGUAGAGAAGAACGUUGGUGAGAGUGGAAAGCUCAUCAAGUGACGGUAACUACCCAGAAAGGGACGGCUAACUACGUG